GACGAACGCUGGCGGCGUGCCUAAUACAUGCAAGUAGAACGCUGAAGAGAGGAGCUUGCUCUUCUUGGAUGAGUUGCGAACGGGUGAGUAACGCGUAGGUAACCUGCCUUGUAGCGGGGGAUAACUAUUGGAAACGAUAGCUAAUACCGCAUAACAAUGGAUGACCCAUGUCAUUUAUUUGAAAGGGGCAAAUGCUCCACUACAAGAUGGACCUGCGUUGUAUUAGCUAGUAGGUGAGGUAACGGCUCACCUAGGCGACGAUACAUAGCCGACCUGAGAGGGUGAUCGGCCACACUGGGACUGAGACACGGCCUAGACUCCUACGGGAGGCAGCAGUAGGGAAUCUUCGGUAAUGGGGGCAGCCCUGACCGAGCAACGCCGCAUGAGUGAAGAAGGUUUUCGGAUCGUAAAGCUCGGUGUAGUCAAGAACGAGUGUGAGAGUGGAAGUUCACGCUGUGACGGUAGCUUACCAGAAAGGGACGGCUAACUACGUGCCA
rnacentral:rRNA from 1 species